GUUUUGUUUGUAGAUUUAUUUUCACUCUUAGCAUUGUACGGAAUCCAUACAAAAGACAUGAGAUAAGAGAGAGUGAAACUAGGAAAAAACAGAAAAUAUUGCAAUUAGUUAAGUUACCUAGUUUCAUAAACAUUACUUAAAGCUGUGCAAAUUACACAACAGCUUAACCAACUGGUAAUGCUUACAUGUCCAUGAGAUAAUACUUGUUUUUACAAUAUGAAAUUAACAUACUUAUGAGUUAAUUUAUCUAGAACAAAAAUGUAAUACAUACAAGCGAUGCCUCUGCUGAGGAAUCAACAGGUGAGAUAACAUUUUUCUGGUGUAAUGAACUGCAUUGAUCACCAGCCUGCUGUAUUUUCUAGAUCUUUCUAUCUACUUCCUGUUUUAGCUCAGAAAACAACUUCAAAAUAAGAGUCUGCAUUUAACGUCAAAAUAUGAGUCUGCAUGAAACAUCAAAAUAAGAGUCUGCAUAAAACUGAAAGUAUACACUGUUAAUUGCAUAAAAAUUCAGCUUAAAUGCCUGAGAGGCAGAACAAGUACAUUAUCUCACACUACUACUAUAUCACCCUGAGGGAUAUAAUAAACAUUAUCAAUCCGCUAUCAUCAAAAUUCAGGCAGUUGAGAAGCAGCAUAGGACAGUGAAACGUCCAAGGGCAAGGGCUGAGCAGGAGAGCAAUCAUUUGGAUGAUCUUUGACACCAGGGAAUGGUGAGAAGCAGUUUUAUAAUGGGAGGGCAUCAUCUGCCUAUGUUGGGCCAUCAGUGGGAGAGCAACCUCUCUCCUUCACUUCAUCACAGUUGAACACAAAAAUGUGUGGGUGGUAUCAGAAGUCAUUUCCGAAACAGCCAGGUGGGAUUAAAGCACUUCCUGAUUCUAGAGAGAGAAAAUAUGCUAGUUAGUUAAUUUCAUUGGAUACAUUUUCGUGUGGUGACCUAUCAAUACAUGGCUAAUUUUAAUAUUCAAAUGAGCCAUGCAUGCCCAGUUGCUACCACCAGGCUGUCAAUCAAGCUCUCAGACAGAGAACGUAACGUUAGCUAACGUCGGUUGUUGGACUGAAAUUCUGAAAAUGCUCAUACUCAUAUGUAUAGGCAAAGCCUAUACAUCUGAAACAGAAGAUUUGUGUUGACGCUCAUGGACAUGUGUGGGCGUGGGCCUUAUGCCUGAGGCUUUAAGUGAAGUGAAGUGCAGCCCUCUUCAUCUUCUCAACUGUUUAUACAGCACACUCCUCAUUUUGCCAUUAGUCAUCACAAACACAUUUGCACACAGACACAUUUACAUCAAAUGCAU
rnacentral:lncRNA from 15 species